rnacentral:rRNA from 1 species
UGUCCUACGGGAGGCAGCAGUGGGGAAUAUUGCACAAUGGGGGGAACCCUGAUGCAGCGACGCCGCGUGGGUGAAGGAGUAUUUCGGUAUGUAAAGCCCUAUCAGCAGGGAAGAACAAUGACGGUACCUGACUAAGAAGCACCGGCUAACUACGUGCCAGCAGCCGCGGUAAUACGUAGGGGGCAAGCGUUAUCCGGAUUUACUGGGUGUAAAGGGAGCGUAGACGGCAGCGCAAGUCUGGAGUGAAAUGCCGGGGCCCAACCCCGGAACUGCUUUGGAAACUGUGCAGCUCGAGUGCAGGAGAG